AUGCCCAAUUGGAGGCUAAGGAGAAGAACAUCCAGGCGGACGCCGACACGAAGGCAGAGGCGGACAGCGGCCAACUUGCCGAGGAGCAUGGCCAGGAGCAGAAGCGGUGGGGAGGACGCUUUUGAGGCGGAGCAUGGGAAGUUCCGGCAAGAAAUUGCCGAGCUCAAGGCGGCGCUCGACGCGAACCGGGGGCAGCUGCAGCAGCCCGAACGCCCCACGGCGCUCUCAUCUCUUGAGCUCCGAGCCCGUGGUGCCCUACGCUCCAUCUACAGGGAGAGGCUCGAGACUCCUCUCGUGCCCCGUGACGCUGAUUACGCCGAGUUCUCCUCCAAGUUCGUGGAGCGGCUCCAGGACGGGGCCCGAAAGGUGGACGGCAUCUUGGAGGAGGAGUGUCGCGACCUCUUUUCUCUGGCAGCGACCUGCGUCUUCAGCCACCUUCUCCAUGGCGACCCCAACUUUGACUUUGGCAAGGUGAUAGGUCUUGUUCCUGAAGAACUCCGCGACGGCCUCGCGGGCGCCGUGGAGGGCCACGUGGACGUGCUGCUCGGGAAGUUCUCCUGCAGCGGCGGCGAGGGCUCCGACGGGGCUGAGGCGGACGGCGGCGACAGAGACGACGGCGUGAAGACGACAGAGACGACCCCGGUUCUUCUUAGAGCUCCCCUUUAUCAUCCUGUAAUAGACUAA
rnacentral:rRNA from 1 species